GCCGGGUGCAAUGACAUACACCUGUAAUCCCAGUGACUCAGGAGGCUGAGGCAGAAGGAUCACAAGUUUGAAGCCAGUCUCAGCAAUUCAGUAAGACCCUCAGCAACUUAGUGAGACCCUGUUUCAA
rnacentral:sRNA from 1 species